GAUGAAGAACGCAGCGAAAUGCGAUUAGUAAUGUGAAUUGCAGAAUUCAGUGAAUCAUCGAAUCUUUGAACGCAUCUUGCGCUCCUUGGUAUUCCGAGGAGCAUGCCUGUUUGAGUGUCAUUUUAACUUCUCAACCAUAUCGAAUUGUUUUUCGAGGUGGCUUGGACAUGGGGGUUUUUGCAGGCUUUAAUAAUGAAGUCGGCUCCUCUGAAAUGCAUUAGUGGUAUCUGAAGCAGAACUGCUACUAUUAGGUGUGAUAAUUAUCUAUGCCUCUUGGUAUACUGCAUGAACAGAUUGCGCUGCUUCCAACUUGUACACCCUUUGGUGUUUGACAAAUUUGACCUCAAAUCAGGUAGGACUACCCGCUGAACUUAAGCAUAUCAAUAAGCGGAGGA
rnacentral:misc_RNA from 1 species